rnacentral:rRNA from 1 species
GGAUCGUAAAGCUCUGUUGUUAGGGAAGAACAAGUGCCGUUCAAAUAGGGCGGCACCUUGACGGUACCUAACCAGAAAGCCACGGCUAACUACGUGCCAGCAGCCGCGGUAAUACGUAGGUGGCAAGCGUUGUCCGGAAUUAUUGGGCGUAAAGGGCUCGCAGGCGGUUUCUUAAGUCUGAUGUGAAAGCCCCCGGCUCAACCGGGGAGGGUCAUUGGAAACUGGGGAACUUGAGUGCAGAAGAGGAGAGUGGAAUUCCACGUGUAGCGGUGAAAUGCGUAGAGAUGUGGAGGAACACCAGUGGCGAAGGCGACUCUCUGGUCUGUAACUGACGCUGAGGAGCGAAAGCGUGGGGAGCGAACAGGAUUAGAUACCCUGGUAGUCCACGCCGUAAACGAUGAGUGCUAAGUGUUAGGGGGUUUCCGCCCCUUAGUGCUGCAGCUAACGCAUUAAGCACUCCGCCUGGGGAGUACGGUCGCAAGACUGAAACUCAAAGGAAUUGACGGGGGCCCGCACAAGCGGUGGAGCAUGUGGUUUAAUUCGAAGCAACGCGAAGAACCUUACCAGGUCUUGACAUCCUCUGACAAUCCUAGAGAUAGGACGUCCCCUUCGGGGGCAGAGUGACAGGUGGUGCAUGGUUGUCGUCAGCUCGUGUCGUGAGAUGUUGGGUUAAGUCCCGCAACGAGCGCAACCCUUGAUCUUAGUUGCCAGCAUUCAGUUGGGCACUCUAAAGGUGACUGCCGGUGACAAACCCGGAGGAAGGUGGGGAUGACGUCAAAUCAUCAUGUCCCUUAUGACCUGGGCUACACACGUGCUACAAUGGACAGAACAAGGGCAGCGAAACCGCGAGGUUAAGCCAAUCCCACAAUCUGUUCCUCAGUUCGGAUCGCAGUCUUGCAACUCGACUGCCGUGAAGCUUGAAUCGCUAGUAUCCGCGGAUCAGCAUGCCGCUGGUGAAUACGUUCCCGGGCUUGGUCAACACCCUCCGGUCUACACCACUAGAAGUUUUGUACCACUCGAAGUUCGUGACGCAAACCUUUUAUGGAUCCAGCCGCCCAAUGUGGGACAGAUUGAUUGGUGCGUAAGUCGUUAACAAGGUAACCG